rnacentral:pre_miRNA from 1 species
UUAAAAUUGAAUGGCGAAUGUCGGUAUGGUCUCUUUUUCCAAUAAAGGUUUCGAUCAAGCGAAGUGACUAGACCGAACACUCGUGCUAUAAUUUUAAAAU